rnacentral:rRNA from 1 species
GAUUAACGCUAGCGGCAUGUCUAAGGCAUGCAAGUCGAGCGACGUGCCCCGACUUCGGUUGGGGAUGACGAGCGGCAAACGGGUGAGUAACACACUGGUAACCUACCUUCUUCUCGAGGAUAGCCCACCGAAAGGUGAAUUAAUACUCGAUAGUAAUGCGGGGUCAUAUGACAUUCGCAUUUAAAGAUUUAUCGGAAGAAGAGGGGCCUAUGGCUGAUUAGCUUGUUGGUGGGGUAAAAGCCUACCAAGGCAAUGAUCAGUAGCAGGCGUGAGAGCGUGACCUGCCUCACCGGGACUGAGACACUGCCCGGACUCCUACGGGAGGCUGCAGUCAAGAAUCUUCCGCAAUGGGCGAAAGCCUGACGGAGCGAUGCCGCGUGCAGGAUGAAGGCCUUCGGGUCGUAAACUGCUUUUCUGUGGGAAGAACUCGUGACGGUACCACAGGAAUAAGGGGUUGCUAACUCUGUGCCAGCAGCAGCGGUAAUACAAGAGACCUCAAGCAUUAUCCGGAUUUAUUGGGCGUAAAGCGUCCGCAGGUUGUUUAACAAGUCAAGAGUCAAAACUUCAGGCUUAACCUUGGAGAUCGCUCUUGAAACUGUUAAACUAGAGGAUGGGAGAGGCAAGCGGAACUGCAGGUGUAGUCGAAUAAGCGUUGAUAUCUGCAGGAACACCAAAGGCGAAGGCAGCUUGCUGGAACAUUCCUGACACUCAUGGACGAAAGCGUGGGUAGCGAAUGGGAUUAGAUACCCCAGUAGUCCACGCCCUAAACGAUGCGCACUAGGUAUUGGCAGUAUCGACCCUGUCAGUGCCGUUGAAAAAAGCUAACGCGUUAAGUGCGCCGCCUGGGGAGUACGGCCGCAAGGUUAAAACUCAAAGGAAUAGACGGGGACCCGCACAAGCGGUGGAUCAUGUGGUUUAAUCCGAUGAUAAGCGGGGAACCUUACCCAGACUUGACAUCUAGCUGCAUCCCAGUGGAAACACAGGGAGCCUUCGAGGGUGCUAGACAGGUGCUGCAUGGUUGCCGUCAGCUCGUGCCGUAAGGUGUACCG